rnacentral:piRNA from 1 species
UGACUGAAUGGAACUCAUAGGUAGAGAGU